GGCGAUACACGUGGCGAUCUCUCAUUGGCCGGGAAGAAGACUUGGAGUCCAAGCUACUGAGCUUCUAGAAGCUGAAACUUAACUUGCAAGGGAGUAAAGACUUGGUGAUCAAGCUAUCAACAUUUUUGGGGAAAACUUGCCAUGGAAGUUUGGUGUGUGGGACACAUGUCCUUAUCUUUCCAUGCACAUAAGCCACUUGUCCAAGCCAGCCUCAGCCCUCCAGUUUCUAUAAAUACCAGACCCCUCCCCUUCAUUUUUCCAUCCCAAAACCGUGAGACCACCCUAGAGAGUGAGAGGUGAGUUUAGAGAGAGAAACCG
rnacentral:lncRNA from 1 species